rnacentral:lncRNA from 1 species
AAUUCAUCCCAAAAGAAGAGCUUUCUGAGCGCUACGGAGAUAGAAUUGCCAAUUUCUGUGAUAAUUACGAAGUAGUUUAUAGCACACAGAAAUACCUGAAGAAAGCCAAAAGAUCAGUGAAGAUGUUCUCAGGUGGUGCCAUGCUUUGUGGCAUUUGCAUCGCCUUUUCGUGUGGCUAACUAAGGCCGAAAGGGCCCUUAUGCUGACGGGUUGUACACAAAACAGACGGCCAAGAAAAACAAACGUCUUUUCAACCAAAAGAUGAUUCCAGAUAUUUACAAUAUCACUUUUUGAAAUGACAUUAUAAAAGCAUAAAAUGAACAUAAGACUUUUAUAUCAAACAAAAAGAGCUACAGAAACAUUUAUGCGAUUCGUGAAAUGUUCAAUAACUUGUAUGUUAUUAUUUUAAUAAAUGUUGUUUUUUUUGCCCUUAAUGUAA